rnacentral:rRNA from 1 species
CAGUUCGGACUGUAGGCUGCAACUCGCCUACACGAAGCUGGAAUCGCUAGUAAUCGCGGAUCAGCACGCCGCGGUGAAUACGUUCCCGGGCCUUGUACACACCGCCCGUCACACCAUGAGAGUCUGUAACACCCAAAGCCGGUGGGAUAACCUUUAUAGGAGUCAGCCGUCUAAGGUAGGACAGAUGAUUAGGGUGAAGUCGUAACAAGGUAUC